AUACGGGGGGUGCAAGCGUUAUUCGGAUUUAUUGGGCGUAAAGGGCGCGUAGGCGGCUUGGUAAGUCAGGUGUGAAAGCCCGGGGCUCAACCCCGGAAGUGCAUUUGAAACUAUCAGGCUUGAGUAUGGGAGAGGGAAGUGGAAUUCCUGGUGUAGAGGUGAAAUUCGUAGAUAUCAGGAGGAACACCGGUGGCGAAGGCGACUUCCUGGACCAAUACUGACGCUGAGGCGCGAAGGCGUGGGGAGCAAACAGGAUUAGAAACCCUAGUAGUCC
rnacentral:rRNA from 1 species